GAACGUAAAAGGAGGAGAUGAACUUUGCUUGCUCUCCCAGUCGUCUUGUUAUAUAUUGAAGUUUGUGGUAAGCUUUGUGGGAGACGAAAGUGAAGUCAUGGAGAACGGUUACCAUGAAAUCCCUGAAAAUGCCCCUGAGCAUUGCCCAGGUACUCAAUCAGAAUCCGCAGGAAAAUCAGAUGCAUGCCAAGGAUGCCCCAAUCAAGAAGCUUGUGCAACUGCUCCAAAAGGGCCCGACCCAGACAGAUGCAGGGGAC